rnacentral:misc_RNA from 1 species
GAUGAAGAACGUAGCGAAAUGCGAUAAGUAAUGUGAAUUGCAGAAUUCAGUGAAUCAUCGAAUCUUUGAACGCACAUUGCGCCCCUUGGUAUUCCGAGGGGCAUGCCUGUUCGAGCGUCAUUACACCACUCAAGCUAUGCUUGGUAUUGGGCGUCGUCCUUAGUUGGGCGCGCCUUAAAGACCUCGGCGAGGCCACUCCGGCUUUAGGCGUAGUAGAAUUUAUUCGAACGUCUGUCAAAGGAGAGGAACUCUGCCGACUGAAACCUAUAUUUUUCUAGGUUGACCUCGGAUCAGGUAGGGAUACCCGCUGAACUUAAGCAUAUCAAUAAGCGGAGGA